GAUGAAGAACGCAGCGAAAUGCGAUAAGUAAUGUGAAUUGCAGAAUUCCAGUGAAUCAUCGAGUCUUUGAACGCACAUUGCGCCCCCUGGUAUUCCGGGGGGCAUGCCUGUCCGAGCGUCAUUGCUGCCCUCAAGCACGGCUUGUGUGUUGGGCCCCGUCCUCCGAUCCCGGGGGACGGGCCCGAAAGGCAGCGGCGGCACCGCGUCCGGUCCUCGAGCGUAUGGGGCUUUGUCACCCGCUCUGUAGGCCCGGCCGGCGCUUGCCGAUCAACCCAAAUUUUUAUCCAGGUUGACCUCGGAUCAGGUAGGGAUACCCGCUGAACUUAAGCAUAUCAAUAAGCGGAGGA
rnacentral:misc_RNA from 1 species